rnacentral:lncRNA from 1 species
UGGGUUAAUUUAGUUUUUCUAUUUGAGUGUCAUAUUAAUUUUGGCUAUCAAUCCCGUAUCCCCUCCGGAUAUAGACAACGGCUCUGCUUAUCGAUUUAGGAGAAAGGUGCCAAAUGUAUGUAAUUGAAUCCUUCUCGGCGAAUAGAUAAAUUAAUGCACGUCAGUGAACAAUUGUACAAGAUCAUAAUAUGAUCCAGUUUUGAAGUUUUAAGGAGCUAGAAGAACACGAAGAAGUUAGAAGAAGUCACUUUGAUUCUAUAGUAGUUAGAAGAAGUUAAAGCUGGUUUUUUACCUCUUCCUCGAGCUAGAAUUAUCUAAGGAGCUGUCCUUGCGCAAACCAUCAAAACCAAUGAUGACAUUGUAGAUCAAACAGCAGAAUGCAUCGUCCGCAUUGAGCAUACAGCACUUUAGAAGCACAUUUAGACUCAGAAAGCAUAACAAUGGAAUAUAUGCUCAAACUAGAUGUCCCUAUGCAGCUAAAUCUGAUCUGGGAGC